rnacentral:rRNA from 1 species
UACGGGGGGGGUAAGCGUUGUUCGGAAUUACUGGGCGUAAAGGGCUCGUAGGCGGCCAACUAAGUCAUACGUGAAAUCCCUCAGCUUAACUGGGGAACUGCGUGUGAUACUGGAUGGCUUGGAUGUGGGAGAGGGAUGCGGAAUUCCAGGUGUAGCGGUGAAAUGCGCAGAUAUCAGGAGGAACACCGGUGGCGAAGGCGGUUCUCUGGGAAUAUCCUGACGCUGAGGAGCGAAAGUGUGGGGAGCGAACAGG